GAAGUUAGCGGCGGACGGGUGAGUAACACGUGGGCAACCUGCCUGUAAGACUGGGAUAACUUCGGGAAACCGGAGCUAAUACCGGAUACGUUCUUUCCUCGCAUGAGGAAAGAUGGAAAGACGGUUUCGGCUGUCACUUACAGAUGGGCCCGCGGCGCAUUAGCUAGUUGGUGAGGUAAUGGCUCACCAAGGCCACGAUGCGUAGCCGACCUGAGAGGGUGAUCGGCCACACUGGGACUGAGACACGGCCCAGACUCCUACGGGAGGCAGCAGUAGGGAAUCUUCCGCAAUGGACGAAAGUCUGACGGAGCAACGCCGCGUGAGCGAAGAAGGCCUUCGGGUCGUAAAGCUCUGUUGUUAGGGAAGAACAAGUGCCAGAGUAACUGCUGGCACCUUGACGGUACCUAACCAGAAAGCCACGGCUAACUACGUGCCAGCAGCCGCGGUAAUACGUAGGUGGCAAGCGUUGUCCGGAAUUAUUGGGCGUAAAGCGCGCGCAGGUGGUUCCUUAAGUCUGAUGUGAAAGCCCACGGCUCAACCGUGGAGGGUCAUUGGAAACUG
rnacentral:rRNA from 1 species